rnacentral:misc_RNA from 1 species
AACUUUUGGCAAUGGAUCUCUUGGUUCAGGCAUCGAUGAAGAACGCAGCGAAAUGCGAUAAGUAAUGUGAAUUGCAGAAUUCAGUGAAUCAUCGAAUCUUUGAACGCACAUUGCGCCCCUUGGUAUUCCGAGGGGCAUGCCUGUUCGAGCGUCAUAAUAACCAAUCCCGCGUGCGGGGUCUUGGGCACCGCUAGCUGGCGGGCUCUAAAACUAGUGGCGGCACGUGCCGGGCUCUGAGCGUAGUAAAUCUCCUCGCUAUAGGGUCCCGGGCGGCGUGAGCCAGAACCCCUAAUUUUAUCAGGUUGACCUCGGAUCAGGUAGGGAUACCCGCUGAACUUAAGCAUAUCAAUAAGCGGAGGCU